AUGGCAGGGGAAGGGGGCGGGGAGGAGAAGACGAUCGCCGCCGGAGCAGGAGACACGGAGGAGAAGAGCGGCGAGGAGACGACGGCGGCGCUUCCAAAGCUUCCGAAGAAACAGGCGUGCAAGAGGCCCGCGGAGGACCAGCAGCUUCAGAACGCCGCCGCCGCCAAGAAGCGGGCUCAGCACUCAAACCGCCAGCGCGUCGGAGCCCCAGCACCGCGACCACAAGGCAACGGCAUGCAGGCUCCGACCAGGACGCUGGAAUACUAUGCUCGACCACUGUUGCCGCGGCCACCGGUGGCACGCAACAACGGCCCGGCGCCGCAGCCGGCGUUGAACGGGCAGGUGCGCGUACCGCGGCAGCUGGCGGCAUACAACGGGCAGGUGCCGGUGGCGCAGCAGCAGGUGGCGUUCAACGGCCAGGUAAGGCCGCCGCCGUACCGGCCCGUAGGUACCCCCAACAAUCGCGGUCAGAAUCAGACAGUAAUGACGCCGCCUUCAUGCCCGGCCAGCCAAGGAGUGAACCCGCCGUCGGCCGUCCCGCGGAUGCAGAAGCAGCCAGAGACAGAUGAGAUGCGCGAGAAGCGAGUGAUUCAGCAAAAUCUGGAGGAAUACCUCUGGUUACAAAGACAGAUCUACGCAGCCAAGCAGCAAUGGCGGAUGACGUUCAUGCAGCAGCCGCAACAGGCCAUGGCGUUCACGCAGGAGCAGCAGCAGCAAGCGCAGGCUAUGGCGUUCACGCAGCAGCAGCAACAGGCUAUGGCGUUCACGCAGCAGCAGCAGGCGCAGGCUAUGGCGUUCACGCAGCAGCAGCAGCAGGCGACGGCGUUUGGGAGGCAGCAGCAACAGCCGACGGCAUACGCGCCGCAGCUGCAGCAGUACCGUCAGCAGCAACAGCAGCAGUACCAUCAGCAGCUGCCGUACUUGGGCGGCGCCAGCGCGAACUACCAUCAUCAGGCGGGGGGCGUGGUCCCUCGGUUCUCGCUUGACGACUUCUACGCCAGCAACGCCGCGCAGUACUACGAGCGCUCUCCGAUGGUCCUCCCGGCGGCGAGCGGUUCACUAGGAGAGGCGGUGCGGGUGACGGCAGAGGCUUUGCCGGUCAGUACGGUGGUGAGUGUGGAGGGAGACGGGGAUCACGGCAGCCAUGGCCAGCAGGAGCCCGCCCGCGCAUCGGCGGAGGGCGAUGGCUCCCAGCAUGCAUGA
rnacentral:rRNA from 1 species